GGGGAUUUAGCUCAGUGGUAGAGCGCUUGCCUAGCAAGCACAAGGCCUGGGCUCAGUCCUCA
rnacentral:tRNA from 1 species